CUUUGCCAUUCUUAAUUGCUGGAGACAAUAAUGGUUCCUCUCCUGCUCCUGUUUGCCCUCCUAAAGCUCACCCAAGCUGAUAGACCCCCGUGUGUACCUUGACUCUCUCCCAGCCUAACUCAGCCAUCCUUCAGACCCAGGUCAGUCGCCUCUCCACUCAAGUCUCCCGACAGACAGCUCACCAUCAGCUGAUACUUCAGGCCGGAGACCUCAUCGAGACCACCGUGUUACAUGGCAGCCAACCGACCAACCAUAGCUCAGAUCUCAGCUCGGAAGCCCCACCAACAAUUCCAGUAAAAAUGCUACUGCUGUCAUAAUUCCAUGUUCAUAAAGGACAACGCAGCCGGCCAGGCCCCACGCCUGCCCCUA